UCCUCCUGCCUCAGCCUCCCAGAGUGCUGGCAUUACAGGCGUGCACCACCAUGCCCGGCAGGGCACUGUUUUAGUUAGAGUCAUCCAGGGAGACCGAUGACUGGAGCGGAAAGGAGACAGGGAGCUGUUGUGGGCAGGGGGUGAGCAGAGAGGCACCGAGGUCCUGAGGCAGAGGUGUGGGUGCUGUGUUCCAGGGACAGCAGGGAGUCGCUCAUCUGGAAAGAAGUGUGGCAGGUGCAGUGGCAAAAGUGGCCGGGGCAGGGCACAAGGCUCGAAGGCUGGAAGCCUUCGCUGGACCCCAGUGGGGCAGAGCCACUGGGUGGGACAGGGUGGGAGCGGCCCAGCCUGACUGCGAUUCUGCGGUCACUGAAGUGACUGGGUGCAGGACAGGGCAGGCGUAGGCGGAUUCCCCCACCGACCUGGCCAGAAGAUGCCCCAGCGGGCAAGAAGGCUUCCAGGACAAGGCUCAUCCCUUGGCACUGCCCCGGGACUGGCCCCUGGGACUUCCCCAAAUGGGUGAGCCUCUACUUCAUGAUUUGUGAUCACAGCAGACCACAUCCGUCCUCUCUCCUAGGGGAAGAAAUAAAGAAAGGCUUUUCCAGUAAUCCAGAGAGGAGGGACUGUGGCUCCAGUCCGGGUGGUGGCACCGGGAUGUUUGCUUGGGAGCCAGGCCAAGGGAGUGGCCUUGCUCACGAUGGCCGUGGUGUGAGAGACAGGGAGAAGUUAAGAGUCAAGGUUUUUGGACUUUCUGUGCAGCCCAGGCUGGCUUUAGACCCACGAUUGUCCUGCUUUAGUCCCCCACGUGCUGUGGUCUCAGGCGUGCACUGCCUCACCUGGCUGAGACGGUCCUCAUUCUUACCCCUAUUUUAUGGACGAGGAAUUGAGGCUUCCCGUCCACAGUGCCUGGGAUUCUUCAUCGGUGAAGUGGAGAUGAAGAGCUCCUGAGCUGGCCACCACACUGCCUAUCAGGGAAGACAGCCAAUGCGAUGCAAGUUCCAGACCACGUUCAGAACUUCCUCCCACACAUGGCCCAGGCAGAGGGAAAGCUCAGAGAAGAAAGGGAAGCUGCUCUCCUGGUUGUUUCAAUGCUGAAAAUUUGACAGGCCCUGAGCAAAGUUUUACAAAUAGUGACUGUGCUUUGUCUUCAUUGAACACGGUGAGAUCAUGAGGCUUCCUUGUCACCUACAAAGAAGAGCGAGAGCUUCUCCACUUCACUUCUAAGCAUCAUUUCCCUGGCAUGAGCUCGUGUUUCUGUCACAGCCCAGAAUUGCCGUGAUAACCCACGCAUCUGGACAGACCUCACCCUGUUGAUGCCUCAUGUGGGAUGAAUAAGGCAGAUUCAGAAGAAGCAGGCAGUUCAGAAGAGAACUCCCAAGACAUUUUGGAGGACAGUUCAGAGUCCCAGGGCAAGGUUGACAGCAUUGCCUGGGACGUCACCAGGGAUGACAUGAAGCUUCCUAACUCAGAAGGUAGAAGAAGCAAGAUUGAAGUUUGGGACAGUGGAGCAACUAACAACAAGAAACAGUGAAAUAAAUUAUAUAAAGAGAAACAGGUGAUUCAUAUCUGCUCAUUCU